GGCUGCAUGACCUAUUCUUUAUUGACCAUCUUCCUUAUCCUUUUUCUCUGCCUAUUAAGUUGAAUUCAAUUUUAUUUCAUUUUUUCCUGGCCAGCCCGGCCUAGGGCUACACCCUCUAGGAAGUAUCAGAGAACUGAACUCGGUCUAGGCAGCUGUGCUGAAUUUUGUGGUGAGUCAGGAAUGUUCUCUCAGGAUGAGAGUUACAGUGAUUUGGCUCGACACAGGUUAUUCGUUUACCAAUCCUGGCCUGUCUGAAAGCCUGCUGUGUGACUUUUGGCAUUUCUAUGUUUCAUCCUUGACCUAUUGAUGAUGUAAAAUAUAACACAAAAAAGAUAAAAGUCAUCUCCAUCAAAUCGAGCCAAAUAAAAUUUUCACAAGAUGCUGAGAACAGAUUUUGUGAAGAGGAAGAACUUCAGUUUCUUGGAUACCUGGAAAAGUGACAUAGAAAAAUGUCCUUUGUCAACGGCUGCAGUUUGGUGAUUUUUACUUCCUGUAUGAAAUCAAGACUUUGGGGUCUGUAUGCAGCCUUGAAUCACUCGGGGCCAUGCAUUGCUUGAUCUUCUGCAUGCCAAUCAUGGUCUUGUAGUGAAAAUACUGCAUCUUGAGGUCCCAGUAUAAAGGAAGUUAAAAUUAAAAGAAGAUCAACUUAGGAAUGUUGCCAUUAUUUCUGGGAAGUUUUAGCCUCCAUUGAAUUCCAGUCUUCCUGAGUUGGAGAAGUGUCUUGGUCCCACAUCUUGUGAGGCAAGUUUUUAAGCAUCCAAGUGUGUUAAUUUCUCUUCUCAUGUAAAAGGAUGAAGCUGGAUAUGUUUGAUUCAUUAUCACAAGUAUUCUUUGCAUAGCCUCCGUGUGCUUACAUUGUGUGAGUAACAAGGGUAGCGGGGGAAGAGGAGAGGAACAAAAAGAUCAUCAACCCAUUGAUGCAAUAAAUCAAGUAAUGCCACAUUUUCUGGAGUAACACAAUUAUUACAAGAGCCAAUCAUACAAGCCAGGUUAUCAUAUUCCUUUACUGAGUUUUUACUCUGGGAAACUUCACAUUGCCUUUAUUUCGAGCCACAUUUUAAAAGCUUUUUGAGAGGUAUGUCAAUACUGAUAUAAUUUUAAAAAGUAAUAGGUGACCGCUGAAAUGAAAAUGUUGGCAUGAACUUAGAACCCAUGUGUAAUUUUGACCUUGGUAGAAAAGAAUAGAUACAUGUAUAUAUACAGCUGAAUCACUUUGCUGUACACUUGAAACUAACACCACAUUGUUCAUCAAUUACACACCAAUA